UACGUAGGUGGCGAGCGUUGUCCGGAUUUAUUGGGUUUAAAGGGUGCGUAGGCGGCCCUAUAAGUCAGUGGUGAAAUAUCGCAGCUUAACUGUGAGGGUGCCAUUGAUACUGUAGGGCUUGAGUGAAUUUGAGGUAGGCGGAAUUGACGGUGUAGCGGUGAAAUGCUUAGAUAUCGGGAGGAACACCUGUGGCGAAGGCGGCCUGCUGGGCAGUAGCUGACACUGAGGCGCGACAGCGUGGGGAGCAAACAGG
rnacentral:rRNA from 1 species